rnacentral:lncRNA from 1 species
GAGGAUGGCUCUGCUGCCGUGCCAGAGCCUGCCCGGCAUUGGCUGCGGCAGCAUCGCCCUGGCACGAGCGAGGGUGCAGCAAUGUCUGGCAGCGGCGUCACACGCGCCCUUUCUGCCUCCACUCCUGCGCGCCAAUGGCGGCGGCAGGACGGGCCGUUCCCCUGCCUCCGUUAAGGCUGGCAAUGCGAUAGGCUUCGGCCGGCGGAGACGGAGGGACCUGCGCGUCGUCGUCGCGGAGGCGAGCGCGGCGGCGGCGGCCAAGGUCACCACGGCGUCGCCUGGCGGCGUCAGCAUCAGCGACGUGCUCUGGCCUUCCGCUGGUGAGUUCCAAACUUCGGUGAGAUUUUUGCCAUGGCUGACUGGUCAUGGCCGCGUCCUCCCUGGCUUUGCUGGCUCGCCUUGUCUGAAGCUACGAGCACUUGAGCAGCCGAGCUGCCAGAUGAUGACAAUUACUCAUCCCAAAUUACUAUUCAUUUUGGUUUUUCCAGAUACUAUAUAUCUAGACGUAAUAUAUAUCUAAGUGGAUAGCAAAAGUUAUAUAUUAAAAAAGUUAAAACAAAUAAUUUGGGACGGAGGGAGUAUUUCUUGCAUAUUUUUUUUCUUCUGAAAAGAAGUAUUUCUUGCAUAUUGACAAAGUACUAGAGGU